rnacentral:rRNA from 1 species
ACGGAAGGCAGCAGUGAGGAAUAUUGGUCAAUGGAGGCAACUCUGAACCAGCCAUCUCGCGUGAAGGAAUACGGCCCUACGGGUCUUAAACUUCUUUUAUAGGGGGAUAAAGUGAGCCACGUGUGGCUUUUUGUAGGUACCCUAUGAAUAAGCAUCGGCUAACUCCGUGCCAGCAGCCGCGGUAAUACGGAGGAUGCGAGCGUUAUCUGGAUUUAUUGGGUUUAAAGGGUGCGCAGGCGGCACGUUAAGUCAGCGGUGAAAUGUCGGGGCUCAACCCGGGCACUGCCGUUGAAACUGGCGGGCUUGAGUACGGAUGAAGUCGGCGGAAUGUGAUGUGUAGCGGUGAAAUGCUUAGAUAUGUCACAGAACACCGAUUGCGAAGGCAGCUGACUAAUCCGCAACCGACGCUCAGGCACGAAAGCAUGGGUAUCAAACAGGAUUAGAUACCCUGGUA